UACAGAGGGGGCAAGCGUUGUUCGGAAUUACUGGGCGUAAAGGGCGCGUAGGCGGCCUUCUAAGUCGAACGUGAAAUCCCUGGGCUCAACCCAGGAACUGCGUCCGAGACUGGUGGGCUCGAAUCCGGGAGAGGGAUGUGGAAUUCCAGGUGUAGCGGUGAAAUUCGUAGAUAUUGGGAAGAACACCGAUGGCGAAGGCAGCCAUCUGGACCGACACUGACGCUGAGGCGCGAAAGCGUGGGGAGCAAACAGG
rnacentral:rRNA from 1 species